GAUGGUUCGAUUAGUCUUUCGCCCCUAUACCCAGUUCAUACGAUCGAUUUGCACGUCAGAAUCGCUACGGACCUCCAUCAGGGUUUCCCCUGACUUCAUCCUGACCAGGCAUAGUUCACCAUCUUUCGGGUCCCAGCGUGUACGCUCUUGGUGCGCCGCAACUUGCAAUAAGUAUGCGACGCCCCGGGAAUGCGAGGUAACAUAAAUAACGUUACCCAUCUUCCCUUUAUAAAAUAUAAUUAUAAAAAUUAUAUAUAUAUAUUUACUUUCAUUACGCCUUUAGGUUUAUUAUAAAUACCCAAUGACUUGCGCACAUGCUAGAUG
rnacentral:rRNA from 6 species